rnacentral:rRNA from 1 species
UACGGGGGGGGCAAGCGUUGUCCGGAAUUAUUGGGCGUAAAGAGCUCGUAGGCGGCUCGGUAAGUCAGGUGUCAAAUCCUCAGGCUCAACCUGGGGCUCCACCUGAUACUGCUGUGGCUAGAGUCCGGUAGGGGAGCGUGGAAUUCCUGGUGUAGCGGUGAAAUGCGCAGAUAUCAGGAGGAACACCAGCGGCGAAGGCGGCGCUCUGGGCCGGAACUGACGCUGAGGAGCGAAAGCGUGGGUAGCAAACAGG